rnacentral:piRNA from 1 species
UACAGUGCCAAGAGACAGGGUUCCGUGUA